UACGUAGGGGGCAAGCGUUGUCCGGAAUCAUUGGGCGUAAAGAGCGUGUAGGCGGCCAGAAAAGUCCGCUGUGAAAACUCGAGGCUCAACUUCGAGCUGUCGGUGGAAACUUUCUGGCUAGAGUCCGGAAGAGGAGAAUGGGAUUCCUGGUGUAGCGGUGAAAUGCGCAGAUAUCAGGAAGAACACCCGUGGCGAAGGCGGUUCUCUGGGACGGUACUGACGCUGAGACGCGAAAGCGUGGGGAGCGAACAGG
rnacentral:rRNA from 1 species